ensembl:lncRNA
CCUGCAAUGUGUUUCCUUUUUUUAUUUCCACAAAGUAAAUUUCCUGCAUUUAAUCCAGUUGUGACACCAGUUGAGAAUUUUCCUUUGGGGUUUUCAGACGCGACAGUGCUUUCAGUCAUGAUGAGGAGCUCUGUGUUGUUCUCCCUGGCUGUCAGCUUUGCCAUGUUUGGAUUUGGCCUCUCGCUGCAGUGUUACUCCUGUCCUGACGGCUCCUCCCGCAGCUGUGAGGUCAAACAGGAGUGUAACCAGGGUGACGACAGCUGCCUCAAACUCACCAGUGGUGGUAAGCCUUGUUCAGGAAUUAAAAAAAAAAAGAUAUAUGAAUAAAUCUCUGGAACUUUCUCCCAGAUCUCAUGGACUUCACCAGAGGACAGAUUUUGCUCUGUUGUCAUGGAAAUCCUAAUGAUAAUAAUACAGCUAAUAUGUUUGUAGGCAACAAAAUCGCAGAACCUCAUUGAGAGUGUUUCAAAUAUUUAAUUUAUUAUUUGUCUGAAAUGUGAUGGUUAUCUUGAGGAAAAUGCUUCUGAAUAUUCGUUCUACUGUUUUUUUUCUUUGAACUUGUCUGCACCUGACCUUGAAAUGCAAUGUGCAGUUAUAGGUUUAUGUUAUAAUGAAUAUAAUGCUCUAAAUCUGUUGCUUUUCCACCCCUCAGGAAAUACCUACACUGAAUGUGGGAGGUACGCAGACUGUGACUUCAUGAAUCUGGCUGUCAGAUAUUCCCUCCCUGACUUUGAGUUUGACUGCUGUAUCACAGAUCUCUGCAAUGGCCAAGAAAAAAAGUGCCUUUCAGAAAUUUAAGGAUUUCUUUGGUUGACACAUAUAAUCUAAAAUCCCCCCCAAAAAAGAAAGAAAAUAAAUACCACCAAAUGUAGAUUAUUCCAUUAAACGCGGAAACUGUGGUACCACUAAAAGUGGCUAAACAAUAAAGUCUUGAAUAAAACAUAUUGAUGAAAAUCAAAUGUCUUUGAGGUCUGAUGCUGAGGUGAGCGGAGCCUCAGUGAAACACAUAAAUAAAUUCUUUAUCUUUCUUUAUAAAGUCUUCUGGUCAUGUCUACAUCUGAUUAGUGUAUUUCUAUGUUCUAUGUUUUUUUUUCUAUGUUAUAUAGUGAAAGUUGUAUUUACCUCACAUCUUUUCACAUAAAUCAUACAUUUGACAUUAAUUUAAAUGCUGCACUUGGUGGUAUUCAGUACUUCAUCCCGAAAUUCGGGAGAAAACUUUCUUUGAAUGUGAGAAGAGGUGGAAAUAACACCACUACUUUUUGUAUUAAAGUGCGAUUAAACGUUCUGCAGCUUUCCAAACGUUCAGACCGAAUUGAUCAACAUGAGCACAAGAGUGGUGACAGAGUAUACGAAGCCUAUUUGAUACUCAAAUAAAAUGUGUCUAUUUUCCAUCAUGGUAGAAAGGACAGUGAGAAAAUACUGUGUAAGCGACGGGACAGACCCAGUAAACUGAGAAUUGAAAUUGGUGAAGCAUAAGAAAAGCCUGGAGACAUUCUGAAGAAGAUCAUUAGAGUCCAAAGUUGUGCGAGUGUCUGCUGCCGCCCUUGAACACGACUACAAUUAAUUCUCCAAACAAGCUGCUGUAUUCACCCUCUGCCGAUUAUAGAAUCAUGUGAGGGUUUUUGCAGCAGUGAGUGGGAACAAUUCCUUAAUAGGUUGACUUUAAUCAAAAGAACAGCAUCUGUUACCUGAAACUAUUUUUGUGUGCGUGGGUGUAUGCGUGUUAUUCUAUGCUCGGCAUGUCCUGACAUCACACAAAACGAGACUCGACACAAAACUGAUUUUUUUUAAAGUUAGAAACUCAUGGAAUUUUAGGGAAUUAUUCCAAGUGAAUGUACCUCAAAGCAACUGAUGCUAUUUCACACGAGCUGUGUGUGUGUGUGGCCAUGCAACAAUUCUGUCCAGGUGGCUAGAUAAUUAAAAACAUUUCUCACACUUGAAUUUACAUUGAAAUCUCAAUGAUAACAUCUGGCUGAGCACAGGAGGAAAGGACCAGGUGUGUGUCUACGUGCGUGUGACUGAAAAAGAGCAACUAAUAUGAGCUGUGUUGGGUUGAAUCUGUGAUCUUUCGGUCAUGUUAUUGGAAUAUAACAAAGAUGAUGAAUAAUAAAUGCACAAAAACAAGAUAUGCUUGCCUACAUUUGCACUUGCACCCCUUCGCACAUGUAGAAUACCAACAAAACACACCCAAUAAAAACAAUGCUCCAUACUGUCGCCGGUGGUCAAAAACUCCCCAUGGUACCUUUUAAACUGUGGUGCGUUAAGCUCUUGAGCCCACUGUAACUUUUCCACCAAAAGCAACGGAAUAGAAGUGGAGAUCCAUCAUGCGAUGGGAUCGCACUAAUUGCCGACUCUGAAAUCGGUCAAGGGCUUGUAAAGCUGCCUUGACUGCACCACCCCCAUCUUUCAACGCCAACUUAAAUCCCACCUCAACUACACACCUGUAUCGCUCCCUGACUGCAUCUUACACGGCUGUGAUGUGACGCAGGGACAGAAUCCGGUCACCCUCGCAAGUUGAGAACAACAGAGUUUCUGCUCCAUCUGGUGACGGAAUAGGAAAUGUGUCAAUGAACAACAGUUUCUUUUAAGUUAGUGGGUUGUCGGUUUAUUUGCUUGUCACGGCUGCUUGUCUGUGAUCAAAACCGUCUUGAAGAACACGUUUCAGAGGCAGUGGUGGAAAGAGGAAAACACUGACGUCUCGGCCUGUCUGAUCAGCCUGUGAGAGAGGGAGGGUGCGAAAGCUUCCCGCUUCAGAGUCGAGUGUGUUUCACAGAGGAGCCAGCAGCGUGACACAGAGUCAAAAGACAACAGCUGACACGCUGUUAAGCCUUUGUUGCAGCACUGAAAUAUACACAGAGCUGGAUUCAAAGCCCCAAAGCAGACACAUGAGUGUUGUUGCUGAGAUCCAUAAACAGCAACCACAGUCAGAGUAUCAGCUGCUUUUUGAGAGGUAGAAGCCUGUUUUUUUAAAUUAACAGCAGAUGUGUUGGAAACUAGUAGAUGUCUUAGGAAAUAAGUUUAACAUUUUUUUAAGUCUCCUUGUUCAUAUGUGAUGCCUUAGGAGCUUCCUGUUUUUGCCACCUCUGCCCUCUUGCU